rnacentral:rRNA from 1 species
UACGGAGGGGGCAAGCGUUCUCCGGAUUCACUGGGGUUAAAGGGUGCGUAGGUGGGCAAGUAAGUCAGUGGUGAAAUCUCCGGGCUUAACCCGGAAACUGCCAUUGAUACUAUUUGUCUUGAAUACUGUGGAGGUCAGCGGAAUAUGUCAUGUAGCGGUGAAAUGCUUAGAUAUGACAUAGAACACCAAUUGCGAAGGCAGCUGGCUACACAAAUAUUGACACUGAGGCACGAAAGCGUGGGGAUCAAACAGG